rnacentral:tRNA from 1 species
UGAGGAUUGACUCAAGUGGGAGAGUACCUACCUUGCAAGCAGGAGUCCUGAGUUUAAACCCCAGAGCUAUAA